GCCGCCGCUCGCUCACAAAGCUACUCACUCGCUCGCUCGCCGGUGCCGACGGCUGAUCCCCAAUGCCAGCGUAGCUUGCCUACGCCGCUCACCGAUAUAGCCAUCGCUCCCUCGCGCUCCUCUAUCAGUUGGCGCGGUCGUUGCUCCUCCCCACUCCUUCUUUCCUCCACCGUGCGUGAAUUAGGCCUGGCCAGGCCUCGCGGAGGCAGCGACGCAGGUGCACAUGCCACAUGGCCGAUGUGCGAGGAAGACCUGGCCGGCGGCAUGGGUGCAUCUGGAUGCGUGCUUGUGGGGAGGCGACGGCACGGGCACCCUGGCCGGCCAGCACCAAGCCGGCGAAACAGGCGGUCUUGGCUGGCGAUGUAGGCGCCCUAGAAGCACGACUCUCUUUGAUGCUUUGUCUGAUUUUCUCAUUUCGAUUAUAUUUCUCUGAUUUUCUCAUUUCGAUUAUAUUUCUCUGAUUUUCUCCUCGAUUGAUUCGUGUGUGGAGAAGAAAAAAAACAAAUUUAUUAAUUUGGUUUUAUAUAAGUUGUUGUCUUUGGAUUUAGAUUUGUAUCGAUAUGGUGUUUUUUAUUCAUUCUCAGUGGUGAUGGUCUCGAUUUGGUACUCUACUCUUGUGCCUCUCUAUUUGUUCCUUUGUCUGGUCCGGCGGCACAUGUUUCGUAAUUGUAUUGAAUUUGAGUCUAGACGAAAUCCAUCCACUGGCGAGCUCGAUCUAUAAUUUGUAUUGAUUUUGUUUCAAAAUAGUUGAUUUGAAGAGUCAUGGUCUUAUGGAGGUAGCAAUGAAUUUAUUAGUUUGAUUUGAGAAGGAAAUGUAGUCUGAUUUGGAUUCCUAUUUUGUCUGGAUUCGAUACGUGAGCGAGUCGAAGUGGCAGACAGGACGGAGCGGAUAGAAAAAUUGGCAGACUGUAUUAUUAGGUAUAGAUAUAUGCAACGUAUAAUUAUCGGACAGCUCGAGUCCAUUAUCUUCACGCACUUCGCUUGCUUUUCCCUUUGUCCUGACUCGUGAGGAUCUGCCUUGUGUUCGUAUGGCAGCUGUACUUCAUGAUCCUGCACCAAAUAUGUAAACUCUCGGUACACCCUUUUCUUCUGACUAUAUGCACGAAGGAUUUCGUCGCUUGGUGAUCAAUGCACAACUGCUGGACUAAUGUCCAUAUACGGCAUACCACGCACAAGCUCCCGAGUCCCGUCCGUACAGGCACGGCCAGGUUCCAAACACGUGCACGUACUUAUUAAAGUAAUAUGAAUACAUAUUUCACAUCUGCAUGUAUACCGACGUGCAUACCUUUUGAUGUUCUUCAAACUUCCCUAAUUGGCCUCCUUCUAGUCACUACUGCAGUCGAUUUGAUCACUCUCGGUUCGUAACCCCCUUGUCACCACUGGAAAGCAGCAUUAAUGUGAAGACUAAAACACUGUUGUUGACACCAUUUUUGGACACGUAUCUUUGGACGCGUAUCUGGAGUUAAUGAGGCGUAGAUCGGCAGAUGCAAAAGUGGUGACUAGUUGAUAGAAGAGUUGCCGAUGAGGGUUGAUACCGAUGAUAAAACGACAGAAUAUGGCCAAAUCCAGGAGUGGUGAUGGAUCUAUGCCGAUGACUGAUGUUGAUGGUUGCCGAUGGCUAUGAGAGGUGAUUCGCCGAUGGUCACAAAGAGAGGCGCAAGAAUUGUCGAUCGGAUGGUGAUGGUGUGCCGAUCGGUUGUGGUGGAUAAAUUAAUGUUUUCCAUAGUUACUAGAGUUUGUUUUGCAUACGGAUUCCGUUCAGUUUGGAAUUCGAGUCCUAAUCGUGUCUGAUUGUAACUCUUUUAGACAGGGUAUAAAUGUAGACCCCGUAGCGAUGUAAUACACAAUCAAUCAAAUACAAGUCUUUACAUCUAUUCUAGCAGCUACUUUUUCGACGACUUCGUCAACUCGCGUAUUUUCUUUUUUAC
rnacentral:lncRNA from 1 species